GAGGAGGUAAGCGUAACUCCGGGCUGGAGUCCAGCUGUCUCUUCGGGCCUGAGCUGUUGCCAGUUUCGCGCACGCCCGUCAACUGUCACAGCAGAACCGCGGCUCUAUCUGCACCGCCCCAGGAGGAACAGGGGCGGCCCCCAGCCCCCAUCACGAGAUCUCAAGGCGGAGAUCUUAGCCAAGUGUCCUCAGCCCCCAGAGGCCCAGAAGCAAACCCAGCAAGGGGCCUGAACUCUGACAGUCCCGCUCUGGGAUGACUUUGUCGACUCAUUAGCACCUGGAGGUCCUCAUGGGCUCUCAGGUUGGGGGCCGAUCCCCGGGGGGAAGGAUGCAAGGAGGAGGAGCUGGAACGAGUGAAGCUCAGAAAGGAAGUCAGAUAAACGCUAGGAGCAUCUGAGUCACCAACCUGCAGAUGUCACAGGCAGGAAGCAUGCUGACGCCCCCUCCGACCCCUGGACAAGGGGGCAGAGACCCCAGCGCUCCAGGCACCUGACUUCCACGUGCCCCCAGCGCUUCCCCGCCGCCGUCGCCCAGCACCCCACCCUCAAGGCUCUGAUCUCCUCUGGGACACGUACGGACACAGGGGUCAGCGUAGACAGAUGCAAACAACAGAGGCGAGGGACGGUGCCUGCUUCACGAUGGAGCGAGACACAGCUGGGAAGGGGAGAAGCUCGUUAUCGGUGGGUCUGCAAGAGACACGGUUCAAGAGAAAAAAUCAGGAUGCAGGACCUCGGUAUAAGAAGCAGGGGGACAGAGAUACAAUUCAGCCAAAAAAAGAGAGAGAGAGAAGGAAAUCCCACCAUUUGCAGCAACACGGAUGGAACCAGAGGGCAAACUGCUAAGUGAGAUGAGUCAGAGAGNNNNNNNNNNNNNNNNNNNNNNNNNAGUACACGGAAAACGUUACAGCAAAGAAAGAACCCUGAACUCGUGGAAACAGAGACUGGUGGUUGCCAGAGGCGAGGGGUGGGAGGGUGGGGAAAGCGGGUGAAGGAGGUCAAAAGGGACAAAUGCCCAGUUAAAGGGAAAUAAAAGUAAAUGAGCCCUGGGAUCACAACAGAGACACACUGUCUAUGAGGUUGAACGUGUCACCCGCUCAGUCGCGUCUGACUCCCUCCAGUGCCGUGGACUGAAGCCCGCCAGGCUUCUCUGUCCAUGGGAUUUUCCAAGCAAGAGUACUGAGUGGGUUGCCGUUUCCUCCUCCAGGGGAUUUUUCUGAUGCAGGGGUCGAACCCGGGUCUCUUGUGUGCCAGGCAGGUUCUUUACCGUCUGAGCCACGAGGAAAGCACAGAAGACAGUGACUAGAGUUAUUUAACAACGCUGCGCCGCAUGCUGCUAGGCUGCUCGGAUGGGAGAGCUCAGAGAAGAUCCUCCCAAGAGGGACUUCCCUGGCGGCCCGGCGGCCGACACUGCGCUUUCACUGCAAGCCGGGAACUAAGAUCUCACAAGCCAUGAGGUGUGACCGAAAAAUCAUAAAAAACUAAAAAAAAGAAGGUCCCAAGAAAUGUUAAGUAUGUGCAGUGAUGGGUGUCCAUUAGCCUUCCUGCCCAAUCAUUUUAUUAUGUACACGUGUAUGGUACCAUCACGUCCUACGCCUGGGAUGAACAUAACAUUGCAUGUCAGUUACAUCCCAAUUUGAAGAGAAGACCUAUGUACACAAAUCCUCACAACGUGGGAAAGCCAUGACUAGAACUCGCUAGGGGCCGAGCCGCCGGCUGUGUCUAUGGACUGCAACCGGGGGAGGCAGUGGGAGCCGGGGUCCCACCGUGUGCCCGUCUGGGCCGUUUGAAUCUCAGGUCACCAAAAUGUAUUACCUUUUAAAAUAUAUUCAGAUUUUAAACGGAAGGGAAUAAAAAAGCUCUCCGUGGAGAGACGCUGAGAUACAGAUUCGGGAGUCAAUGAAAGCUGGUAACAGGGUGUCCAGGGUGCAUCGAGAAUAUUCACGUCUUUUCUUUCCUUCAGAAAAACCGAAUCGAAGGAGCAGGAUGCUGUAGCUUGUGAGGGCGUCCCUCCCACCAUUUCCCGGAGCCCCUUCCGUUUAAGGAGGAAAUGCCCAGGAAGACACAGCCGACCGCCUGAAAGGUGCCCAGCUGCUCUCUGAGGCCUGAAGGCCUGUGCGCUGCUGCUCUCCCUGCGGCGGAGACACGGCUCUUGGUGCGCCAUCGAAAGGGGGGGACCAGAAAGGCACCCGAGGGACCGUGGGUGUUACUUGCACACGUGGC
ensembl:lncRNA